rnacentral:rRNA from 1 species
UACGUAGGUGGCAAGCGUUGUCCGGAAUUACUGGGUGUAAAGGGAGCGCAGGCGGGAAGCCAAGUCAGCUGUGAAAACUACGGGCUUAACUUGUAGACUGCAGUUGAAACUGGUUUUCAUGAGUGAAGUAGAGGUUGGCGGAAUUCCGAGUGUAGCGGUGGAAUGCGUAGAUAUUCGGAGGAACACCGGUGGCGAAGGCGGCCUGCUGGAUGACAACUGACGGUGAGGCGCGAAAGCGUGGGGAGCAAACAGG